GAUCCUGGCUCAGGAUGAACUCUGGCGGCGUGCAUAACACAUUCAAGUCGAACGGACGGCCCGGAGCUUGCUCCGGGAAGUUAGUGGCGGACGGGUGAGUAACGCGUGAGCAACCUGCCUGUGUGAGCGGAAUAACGUCCGGAAACAGACGCUAAUACCGCAUGACUCACGGACUUCGCAUGGAGACCGUGGCAAAGAUUUAUCGCACACAGAUGGGCUCGCGUCCGAUUAGGCAG
rnacentral:rRNA from 1 species